rnacentral:lncRNA from 1 species
CUACAUCCUCAAUUUUCAGCCUAUUUUUGUCUUAUAUAUAUAUUUUUUAUUUUUUAUUUUCUUAUUAUUUCUUUAUUUUUGUUCUUUCUUUUAUUUCCUUUAGUUUUUUUAGUUCUUGUACCUCUUGCAUUGAUAGUAUGCCCCCUCCCUUUUAUUAUUUCUUUUACUUUUUUUUAUUGCUUUAUUUUUUAGUUUAUUGUAUUGUAUUUUUAGUUGAUG